GCCUGGGUGGCUCAGUCGGUUGAGCGUCCGACUUCCGCUCAGGUCGUGAUCUCAUGAUUUAUGAGUUCGAGCCCCAUGUUAGGCU
rfam:Felis catus isolate Cinnamon breed Abyssinian chromosome B4, whole genome shotgun sequence.